GAGUUUAAAAUUAUAUUUGAUUUCCCCUUUUCAAAAAAAAAAAUUUAAGAAAAUAUUUUGAGGAAGUGAUUGAAAAUUGGCUAGAAUGGUUGGAAAACAACUCUUCAAUUCUCGAGAUGGUCGAAGCAGGUUCUGACAACUGAGCAUUUGAUAGAAAUAAAGCAGUCAAAGCUUGGGAGAUGUGCUUGAAGAUCAAGAAUAUAUCUCUCUCCAUUUUCCAUUGGUUCACAAUACAUAAAAUUGAUUUUGCUUUAUCUUAAACUCUCUAUAAAAGUUGUCUUCCAUUACCAACAAAGUCACGUUCAUUUCCAUCUAUCUCUUCUCAUAACUUAUAAUAUGAGCAAGUCACCCAAGAGUUCCAAGGAGAACUCUUCCAAAGAGAUUGUCAAGGCUAUCAAAGAUGCUGAAGGAAGGAUCCACAAGGAUGAUAAGCUCAAUAAGUUUGAAGGUUCAAAGUCACAAACUGGUUCAUCUGCAGGAGCUUCUUUGGUUAGAAGAACUUCAGUCUCUAAGAUGAAUAAACUCAAGAAGAAGACGGAUCCAAUUGGUCCCUACGACUAAAGAUCACAUCGAGGCAAAAAGGAACAAAUAGGACGAAGAAUGCUACAAAUCCUACCUUCGAGGCAGAGGCUGCCCCAGAGUUUGUUGCACUGAAGAAGAUGAAAUAAAAGAAAAACCCAUAGAGAACUUCAAAGAGGCCUUGUGGAAUUAAGGACCAAAGUUGGCAUGCUAUGCGGAAGAGAUUAGUCCACUUCAAGAAAUCAAAGAUGGGAUGAAGCAAAAGAUAUAGGAUAGGGUUUAGGAUUAGAAAGUUGACUUUCAUCAACUGAUUGAACAAAAAUUCAACAAUUAACCAGAGUCAACUAUAUGUAAAAAAGACAAGUUUGGUUAAUUAGGUCAAAAAAGACCACUUCAAGAAAAUAAGUUUUUCAAUUCUUUUAUCAA